rnacentral:rRNA from 1 species
GACGAACGCUGGCGGCGUGCCUAAUACAUGCAAGUCGAACGCUUUUUCUUUCACCGGAGCUUGCUCCACCGAAAGAAAAAGAGUGGCGAACGGGUGAGUAACACGUGGGUAACCUGCCCAUCAGAAGGGGAUAACACUUGGAAACAGGUGCUAAUACCGUAUAACACUAUUUUCCGCAUGGAAGAAAGUUGAAAGGCGCUUUUGCGUCACUGAUGGAUGGACCCGCGGUGCAUUAGCUAGUUGGUGAGGUAACGGCUCACCAAGGCAACGAUGCAUAGCCGACCUGAGAGGGUGAUGGGCCACACUGGGACUGAGAAACGGCCCAGACUCCUACGGGAGGCAGCAGUAGGGGAUCUUCGGCAAUGGACGAAAGUCUGACCGAGCAACGCCGCGUGAGUGAAGAAGGUUUUCGGAUCGUAAAACUCUGUUGUUAGAGAAGAACAAGGAUGAGAGUAGAACGUUCAUCCCUUGACGGUAUCUAACCAGAAAGCCACGGCUAACUACGUGCCAGCCGCCGCCGUAA